GUACUGCUGAAGAGUCUCAAAAUUGGGACGAAACAGUUGUCCAAUAC
rnacentral:hammerhead_ribozyme from 1 species